CCCUCAGCAUGUGCCAUUUCUUACUACUUAGUAUAUAUGAUCUGGUUUGGUGAGAUAUCAUUUCAUAAAAGUAAAUUCAGGUCAAUGCUGCAGUUACCUGUAAAAAAACUUGAGAUAUAUAAGUCAUGUUCACACUUUCCAGAGAGUGAGCUGCCUAACAUUCUAAUAUAUCAAUAUCCACAAACAUAUAUAGUGGGAGUGAUCGAAGUGUAAGAUUUAUACAUAGAGAUUUGCUUCCGACCAGCAAAAAUUACCUCAAGGUACCGGUACCUCACGGUACCAAUUCGUUUCUGAUCAUUGAAUCUAACUGCGCAGAAUGGGCAUUGUUAGAUCCAACGAUGGGAAACGAUUUGCUACCGGUAACACGAGAUACUUUUUAUUGGACCGGAGAAAAUCUCUAUAUAUAGUGUAAAAUUGCUCUAAAAGAUUAAUUUGACCAUCCAACAUUUGGUUCCUUGAGGUACCACAAAUAUUCGUUAUCUCGAGGUACUUUAUAGUGUAAAAUUUGGCACCUCUAGUGCAAAAUGUGGUACCUCAAGGUGCUUAGUAUCUCAAGGUAUCAGAACUUUGUGUGCAAAAUGUGGUACCUCAAGUUACCAAAUAUUGGAUGGUAAAAUUACUCUAGAACUUAACAGUACUUGUCAUUUUCGAUGAGUUGAACUUUGCAAUUGCGAAAAACCUCGGCAACUGGCUCACUCUAUAUAUAGUUAGCUUGGUCCAAAGGCCCUAAGCUUGUACAUUCAUUCAUUUCUCCUGGUUAUGUACUGUUUACUCAUUCUCUAUUCUAUGAAAUUGGCGGCUUCCCGAUUCAUUCAAAAGAAAAGAACUUUGCAAUCACGAUAGACUACCACUGCCACACAACCUCCGGAGAGCAGCACGACCACGACGAGGAUGCAUCGGCAUGUCAAGCUCCUGUCGUAGUAAAGGUUUGGGGCUGUGGCUUGGUGGACAGCCUCCUGGGUCUCCAUGUGCAUUGUGUUGCUCUUUGGCCAGAUGAAGAGAAUUUCAGUGGCCAUGUGUGGAGGAUCUUGGUGAUUCUGGCUGAUGAAUUUAUCAUGAGAUACAGGAGUUCCUGAUGCCUCCUAGGCCAAUAGCCAUAGCAACUAGUUCAAUGGAUGGAUUGGCCUCUUCUCCAUGAAACACUGUCCAUCAAGAAACUUUGCUACCGAAACUUGCACAACCAUAUAUCAUAUAUAUCCACUGAAAUUCUUGAGGAAUGGUCAUUAAUUAAGGAAUUUCCUAGAGGUGAUAUUGUAACAUCAAAGCUUCCAUAGUCACUUUUGGUACUUCUGAUGAUCCUUUUAUGGAGCAAAGAAGAUUGCACAGUGACUCCACCUACACCUUCCUUUUACAUGCAUGUGAACAAAAGUCCCAUGGCUAUCGAUUUCAAGAGUGUAGCUUCACUGCGCAAAAUAUUCUACUCCUCCUAUGAAAGCAUCAAGGACCAAGAAUGGAGUCAACUGGAAGACAUGAAGACAACCUGCAUGGGGUUAGACAAUUUUUGGUUAUCAAAAACUAUAUCAUUGCGGCAAUGCCAAAUGGACCAACACAAGGUGCUAGUUACAAACAAAAUCAAUUUUUUUAAUGGAUCUAGGCUCCCCUUAGCCAAUUACCAAAAAUAUUAGCUAGGUCCCGUGCCCUCCCACUUAUAUAUUAGCUAGGUCCCUUGCCCUUCCACAACCAAUGUAGGACUAUUCAACACGCUGCUCCAUACAGAAGGAGAUCAGUUGCCAAAAGUGAGAUUAGAGAGAAAACCUUAUGUAUCCCGCUUCUUGUUUUGAGAGAGAUCAUGAACACCGUGAAGUUCUUGCAAGUUGUAGCGGCAAUAAUGUUUCUGAGACGAGUUGCUUUUCGAUGAACAUGGGGCAGUGGCCACUCCAAUUAACCAGCCAUGGUGCUGGGUUGCUCUGGCUGUUGGACUGGGAGGCAUCAAGAGUUGUCAUGUCAUGAAGUGAAUGUGUGGCAUCACUAGGAUCAUCGCGGCAUGCAUGGCUAUUAGUUUCUAUGUUGUAAACCUGUGCUGCCCUUCAGAGUUUCAGUUUCCUGGAGCGCGUCUGGUUCUCAUUUUUCAGAGUUUUUCAUUCGAGUAUGUUUUACUAGAUGGGCCAGUUUUCACCUCGUCUUUUCAUUGUGCAUCUGUGUGAGUUCGUGAUUUCCCUGAGAGUUUCGUUCCAGGGCGCCGUGUGAUCAGGGAUCACCGGCGGCAAUGGUGACCGCAUCAUACAACGUACGACGCCAUAGUCGCAGUCUACAAACUGAUUGGACAUAUCUCCAAGUCUGUGGUGUGGAUUGGUUCAUGUGCUGCAUUGAUUCAUGUGCACCCCUUCUUCUUUUUCCUGCAUUUGAUAAAAAAUCAGACUGCUUCAGAGAUAUUCAGAUUGUAAAUUCAUUCAUGAUGCCGUGCUAUAUAUUUUCUGCUCCAUAAGAAGGCCAGAUGAGGUGGCAAAAGUGAUGCGUGCGCGAGAAAUAGAUUGCACAAAACCUUGCUUGUAUUUCUCGCUUCUCAUGUUAGCUAGCAAGAAUUAAUAGAGAUCAUCAUGAACAAGAGUUCAUGGUGCGCAUCAUCAAGUUCUUGCAAGUUAACAUGGAGUAGCUGACACGAGUAGCUCUUCGAGGAACAUGGAGCAGUGGCCACUCCAACCAGCCAUGCUGCUGGGUUGCUAUGGCUGUCGGACUAGGAGGCAUCAGGAGUUUUCAUGUCACGAAACGACUGUGUCGAACUGGCAACGGCAUCACGAAGAGCUUUCUCCAUGGCGAACCGAAGCAUGCAAUGGCACCAUGUAGUCGCAGUAACAUUCCACAUCUGUUCCAUCUCGACAAUGCUAAUGCCAAUACGAUCCUUAAAGCGACAACUCUGGUGAGAUUUGCUGACAUAGCAAUGUGGAUACAUGCAGCACCGCACAGCAAUUGGUGGCAUUUGAUCCUCCCUUUGUGUUAACUGUUUGUUGUUUUCCAAGCUAUUCUGUUCUAAGACUUGCAAUUUAUCAUCGGAAUGCAUGAUUCCCAUUGAGUGGUAGCAAGGAUACAGUUUCACUUGCUGCUUGAACUGAUGAACAAUUGAAGUGCCCAAACUGAUCAGUGAUCAGACUUAUGCGGCUCCCCUUGCAUCACGGCAGCACUAUUUUGGUGGUGGCCUGAUGUACUGAACAUGACUAGCUGCAAGUGCUGAAUCAAUAAUUAUUGCAUGGAAUCAGAUAGUACAUUUGGUUGUCGACAUAUAUGAUAUACAAGCUCUCCCAAUCCAGCCCAUAUAUAAAAGAGAUAACAAGAGGGUGAGUAGUAGCUAAAGCUGAGAGACACAGGAGAAUGAACCACAGGGAAUUCAGGUUUUUGAUGGAUGCCAAACUCGAAAUUCAGCUUAUUUGCUGCGUGGCUAUGGUAGGCUUGGGAGUUUGACUAUCUCCGUCGGAUGGCUAUACUGCAUCUUGAGAUCUCUCAGUGGAAUAACUACAGUACAGGCCUAUUGUUCUUUUGCUCGAUGAAAGAUCAGAGGAAGUAACCAUGAGAGAAAUGAGUUGCUAGAACAAUUUUUUUUCGUUUGGCAUAGUGGAUGAAAGGUAAAUUCAAUGGCUAUUCACAAUGGGUUUGCCUGGUAGGCCUGGGAGGUGCCGGUAUCUAUGAUGCUUCAAUUUCUUCCAAUGUUUCAGUACUCAGCGGAUGACUACUAUUUUGGUUUUGAUGGUAUGAUGUAAUCAGUUUCUAAACAAUACAUUAUGCUGCACUUCUCUAGAUGGAAGGUGAACUUGCUAGGUUGCAUUUUGACUAACAACCUGAUCAACAAAGAGGGGGAAAAAACAGUUCACUGCCCUUCACUUGUACUGGCAGUGUUAAAUGACUGCCUUAUGUCAGGUAUCACAUAAUAUGUAUCCCUUAUAGUCUAUGUA